UGUCUAGGGGUUCAAACCUAAAGAACCUAAAUAUCUAAACGAAGAGAUUCAAUACUGUUGCUUGCAACAGUGUGCACUUCUCUUUUAGUAAGACGUUGUGAUCCAUUAGGAAUCGAUUGUCCCUGGUGUCAAUCAUUUGGCUACCAAUAGUCUGAUAUUUGAAGUUCAUGAUGACAAAUAAUACUAUCUUUACGGUUGUGUAUAUUGUCUUUUGAGCAUAUCAUUUAACUGAUGUAGCUGCCUAAUGGAUUUUAAAGGUCAUAACAUUAAUACAAUUGUAUUAUCCGUUCUCGAAUGGAAUAUUUUGUUAUGUACCCGAUCAACAACGGAUUCAUUUGGGAUACCUUUGGGACCCGUCUUGAAACACGGACCAAGGAGUCUAUCUAGUAUGCAAGUAAAUGGGAUAUUGAAACCUAUUUGCGUAAAAAACUUAACUGUUAUGGGAUUACGAGUUUCGUUCAUUUAUUUGAAUGUGCUCCUCCAUCCCGGGGUAUUUUCAUAACAUAUAUGGGUAACUAUAUAUAGAAAAUAUACCAUGAGCAUACUGGAUAUGACCCGAAAGAUGGUGAACUAUGCCUGAUCAGGUUGAAGUCAGGGGAAACCCUGAUGGAGGACCGAAGCAAUUCUGACGUGCAAAUCGAUUGUCAGAAUUGGGCAUAGGGGCGAAAGACCAAUCGAACCAUC
rnacentral:rRNA from 1 species